UUUCUCGCUGAAGUUAUAUCCAUAUCAAUUUAUUUCAUUUCAACUUGAACUCCAUGUUUCGGCACAUUUUGUAUUUCAAAAUGAAACAGCACAUCCCAAAGUUCUUGGUAAAUAUUCGUUAAUGGAGAAACAGUAUUUGGCCAUGAAUAGUUUAUGCAUUAUAUGGAGGCUGACUGCAGUUACCACCACACUAUCUUUAAGAAUAUUGUGGUGUAUCUGGAUAGGUAUUUAAAAAGGUUCUUGUGAUCUUAAUGUAUUAGGAUAUGGUGUUCAAUCAUUAAAAAUAAUUAAAAACAAUGUAAUUGAGUAGCUUAUAGGGGCGACCUAUGGUUUUGCAUGUGAGAUGACUUCUCGUGGUGGUAAUUGGUUUAGAAAGAAACAAUGAAGACAGAUUUUAUGGGAUCUUUAUAUUGAUGAUAAGACAGAAAACUAAACUGUUUCUGUUUUGCUGUGUAUAAAGCUUCUUUAUAUUAACUAGGGAUUUUGUCCUUAGAAAGUGAAAAAAUAUUUGCUACUAAGACUAUGGAUAUCUAGGAAGUUCACUUAUUUCUUAUCCCAAGUAAUAUUAUUGCAGGUACCUGAAUAUUGAAACUCUCCAUUAUUUUCAUAAUUUUUUUCCUUCAUUAUGAACUAAUUGUUGGUAUGAGGUUGCUAUUAAAAGCAAUAAAGCUGAUCUUGUAACCCACUUACCUACUAUUAUAUUAGGAUAAGUUCGAGAGAAGAAUUGGGUCAGUUUUGUAUGCCCAACUUAGUAAUUUUUUUCUCCUUGGACAUGCUAUACUUUGACUACUCCUGAGAUAUAAUGUGAACAUUUUGUUACGGUGGCAAGCUGAGUGAGAGAUAUUCUUCUGUAUCAUUAGAACAAAUCAACGAAGGCAUACCGUGCCAUUGGGGGUGGCAAAAGCACGUCGUACUAUGUGAUGGAAGGCAAGGACAUUUAGAAAGAAUAUCAGAUCUUUAAGAAUGGCUACAUCCAAUAA